ACCUGGGAUAGCUCAGUUGGUAGAGCAUUAAUCUCAGGGUUGUGGGUUCGAGUCCCAUGUUUGGGCA
rnacentral:tRNA from 1 species